AUUGAACGCUGGCGGCAGGCUUAACACAUGCAAGUCGAGCGGGGAAGGGUAGCUUGCUACCUGACCUAGCGGCGGACGGGUGAGUAAUGCUUAGGAAUCUGCCUAUUAGUGGGGGACAACAUUCCGAAAGGAAUGCUAAUACCGCAUACGCCCUACGGGGGAAAGCAGGGGAUCUUCGGACCUUGCGCUAAUAGAUGAGCCUAAGUCAGAUUAGCUAGUUGGUGGGGUAAAGGCCUACCAAGGCGACGAUCUGUAGCGGGUCUGAGAGGAUGAUCCGCCACACUGGGACUGAGACACGGCCCAGACUCCUACGGGAGGCAGCAGUGGGGAAUAUUGGACAAUGGGCGAAAGCCUGAUCCAGCCAUGCCGCGUGUGUGAAGAAGGCCUUUUGGUUGUAAAGCACUUUAAGCGAGGAGGAGGCUACUUGGAUUAAUACUCUAGGAUAGUGGACGUUACUCGCAGAAUAAGCACCGGCUAACUCUGUGCCAGCAGCCGCGGUAA
rnacentral:rRNA from 1 species